UGGGGAAUUUUGGACAAUGGGGGAAACCCUGAUCCAGCCAUCCCGCGUGUGCGAUGAAGGCCUUCGGGUUGUAAAGCACUUUUGGCAGGAAAGAAACGUCGCGGGUUAAUACCCCGCGAAACUGACGGUACCUGCAGAAUAAGCACCGGCUAACUACGUGCCAGCAGCCGCGGUAAUACGUAGGGUGCAAGCGUUAAUCGGAAUUACUGGGCGUAAAGCGUGCGCAGGCGGUUCGGAAAGAAAGAUGUGAAAUCCCAGAGCUUAACUUUGGAACUGCAUUUUUAACUACCGGGCUAGAGUGUGUCAGAGGGAGGUGGAAUUCCGCGUGUAGCAGUGAAAUGCGUAGAUAUGCGGAGGAACACCGAUGGCGAAGGCAGCCUCCUGGGAUAACACUGACGCUCAUGCACGAAAGCGUGGGGAGCAAACAGGAUUAGUACCCUGGUAGUCCACGCCCUAAACGAUGUCAACUAGCUGUUGGGGCCUUCGGGCCUUGGUANCGCAGCUAACGCGUGAAGUUGACCGCCUGGGGAGUACGGUCGCAAGAUUAAAAACUCAAAGGAAUUGACGGGGUCAUAGCUG
rnacentral:rRNA from 1 species